AGUGCCCCAAAUUUUGGUAACUAGUUUACCAAAUGUGUUUUUCUCUUCUCCCCUCUCUGAUUUCUUGCCCAUGACCCUCUAUUAGCUUCAAGACAACUUUUAAAAAUAGUCUCUAAAGGUUUGGGGACAAUUUAACUAUAUUUCAUAUUUUAUUUUAACCAAAGGCAAUUUCUGUAAUUAGUUUUGGCCCUUAGAAAUUUGCAAAGAAACUAUUAGUCCCCUUUGGUUACUAACCGUGAGAUUCCUAUCCAUUACAGCCCUAGGUACCCUCAACUCAUUUCACCAAAAACAUUCUGGUCUCUAGUUUAAAAUGUUCAAAUUAGGUUUGAUCAAAGUUUGACCAAAUUUGGCUAUUUUUGUUAAAAACCUAACUUACCUUUUCCAAAAAUUCUGAAAGUUUACAAGCAGCCUCUCGGAUCAAUGAGAGGCCAACCCAUAAAUUUCCAGCUCCUAAAUCAUUUUCCUUGUGCAGUUUUCUUUCUGUCGAACAGGUUGUGUGCACUGUUCGAGGGAGGGGGAUCUCAUCUUCAAUCUCAUGAGUGGCAAGCCCUCGCUGCUUGCGCACUAUGCCUCGAGCCUAUCCAUCGCGUCGCACGGUCCUUUGACCAGUUGCACGCGUCAGUGGUGAGUUGGUCCAAGCUCGCCACCUCUGGCAACAGCGCCAGCAACGGCUGCCGCGACCGUCAACAAACAUUGCUGCAAAGCAACGCCGCCCGGCACCGCCCAAGCGUCAUGCAAGCUCCGCGUGCUCGUCCCCUACCCAUGCGCGCCGCGAUGCCCAUCAUCACACUCUGGAUAGCGCAGAGCGCGUCUUCUGCCGCCGACGCGUCCGUGACGAGACGCCCCAUUGAUAGCAUGUCCUUGCCGGCAUUAUCUCGUGUUCAAGAGCAAAAUGGAUCACUCGCACACCAUAGCAGCUAACCCGGCCCUGUGAGCACCUGCUAAUCCCUUUGUCUUGCCGCAAUUUGUCGACGGAGUUGGUCCCCCGCGGCUCCCCUCGAGUCCACCUAUAAAUAGACACACCGAGCCCUUGCUAGCGCCACCACUCACCCUCCUCCACUCCAGAGCCUCGCCCCAGCCUCUCGAAGGGAGGGAAGGUCGUCUUCCCCGCCUCCGGCCGCCUAAUUGGGCUAUGAGUCCCGGCUAAAUUUGAGCCAGUAAGAGCAUCCCCGCAACCCAUUAUUUGCCAGCCAGCGCCUAGAGCACUAGCUCAUCCGACCUGCGCGUCGAUUCGGUGACCCGCGCUCUGAUGAGAUCCACCUGCACCCGAAAAGCGUCGUCGCCGGAGUUUGGAGAUGCCGUUGACGUGGUGUCCGCCGACGUGUGACUCCAUGUCCAUCAGAUGCGGAACCUCCUGGUGAGUGCACCCGCACGCUCUUGCCCCUCUAAUCCAUCGCAGGGCGCCACCGGCAACACCACGAGCCUCUACCACCGGCGAGAUACCGAUGGGGAAAGCGCCGACGUCCACUUCACCGAGCUCGAUCCCGACUUUGACAAACGAGGCAAGCAUGUUUGAACACUUGAUGUGAUGUUUGCUGAUGAAAUUUGUUUGAUCAACUGCUGCAUUAACAAACACAUUACAUAUUACAUGAUAUGACCAUAUAUGUGACAAUGAUGACCGAUGUGGUGAUGAGAGGUCGUGGACAGCCUAGUCACGUGGGACGUGAUAGGUUGUGGCCUAAGCAUGCCGGAUGCAUGACUGUGAUGGAUGUCGACCUAGAUCGAGUCUUGUUGUGCGUCACCUUUUAUUUCGUGCUGCCACAGUUCUUUCCAAAAGGGAAUACAAUAUAGUAGGUCGUGAACCUAUUAUUAGUCGCACACGAAGUAGAGGGGUCGGGAUGAAGGUCUCCAUGGCCGUGGAGUAAAGCCAGUCAUCUGGUUAGGGUGCAUGGGUGUUUCCGGUAUGGGACCGAGAGGGAGGGCACUCCCUUGGAGCGCGUGGUAGAAAUUUGACCCAUGCUAGUAGAGGAUGUUGGCCUCCCCGUCUUAUGGGUUUUCCCUGGUAGCGUAGCUCGGGUGAGGACGGUCUUUGCGGGGGAAAAUGGGUGUGUGCUGGUUCUGAGUGUUUGCUUCUAAAAUAACGUACGCAGGAUUAGUCCUAGUGACCAUUGGAACCCGUUUGCUGUGGGUAAAGAGCACAUCCUGUGUAGAGUCAAAACUAUUCGAAUAGCCAUGUGCAUGGUCAAGGACGGCUCGUUGACAUGUCAAGUGUCGGUCUUAGUGUUGGUCCAUGGAGCACAAGUAUUGGUUUAUAAAAUGUUGAUUAUUGACAUCUCACAGUGAUGUGGGAAUUGACUUGAUAAAAACUUGGUUAUUUGGAAUAUCCUGAAGGUUGGUUGUACCACCCGGAUAAUCCUUUGUUAUUUAUUAUGCCCUUUCUUUGGCAUCGCUAAGAUGCCCGACUAUGGCUUGUUAUUUAUUUUGUCCUUUCUGUGGCGUCGCUAAGAUGUCCGACUCUGGCUUGUUAUUUAUUUUACCCUUUCUGUGGCAUCGCUAAGAUGCCCGACUAUGGCUUGCUAUUUAUUUUCCCCUUUCCGUGGCGUCGCUAAGAUGCCCAACUGUGACUUGUUAUAUAUUUUUCCCUUUCUGGCGUCGCUAAUAGGCCCGACUGUGGCUUGUUACUUAUUAUGCCCUUUGUGUGGCGUCGCUAAGAUGCCCAACUAUGACAUGUUAUUUAUUAUGCCCUUUUUGUGGUGUCGCUAAGAUGCCCAACUGUGCCUUGUUCUUAUUAUGCCUUGUAUGUGGUGUCGCUUUGACGCCCGAAGAUGGUUUUUAUUUUGCUUGUUAACCUUUUGAGGUGCCGCUUCAGACACCCGAUCGAUGCAUUUUAUUCUCGUUUGGAUAUUUCAGAAGGACUAUCGCCCGACUUAUCUAUUCUAACUAAAACGUUAUUAAUUUUUUUUAUCAUGAUAACUGUGAUAAUUAACCACGCAUAUGAAAUUGUUGCAUUCACCUUAUCUUUUGUGCAAACUGUUUGCGAGUACUUUUCGAAGUACUCACUGGCUUGUUGAUGUGGUGAGGUAUGGAUGAAGGAGACCUCAUGGAUGAAGAGUACGAUAGCGAGUCCGACGCCUAGAGGAGUCCCAGUCAGUUGUGCGAUCAUGGAGUUCGUCGUUUUAUCAUUUCACCGCUUUUGCCACCAUGAAUAAAUCGUCAAGCCUCACUCUCACGCUUGGCGCGUAGUAGUACUUAUGCCAUGUCACCUCACUCUGAUGUGAAAUGCUCACCUUUAUGCAAACAGUAGAGUUAUCCCAUGACCACUGUAAUAUAUCCGUCCUUAUGAUAGUAUGGGCGUGUUGUAAUAAACUGUAGAGCGAGCUCCGCUCUACCAUGUUUAAUAUUAAGUACUACUGGUUUCUGUAUCAAGAUUGGUCUAUUAGUGUGAAUUAUUUUCUACAUUUGUGACAUUCAUGAUUGAUUUCGAAUAAGUUUAUUUAUUUGGAAACCAGUCCUAAUAACCUUGGUAUCAGAGCCAGGCUAACUGCAAGAAACCACUAUGUGCGAUCACUAACCACAUUAGCUGUUUUUAAUUUAGUGUUCUACAUACUAUAGAGAUUUUUCUGUUAGUCAACAUAUAUUCAUGUUAUGACUUUCUAGAAAUUUUUUCUAUUGUGCAGAUGGCUGGCAACGGUUGUCCAUCACAGGUCUUCGCCAACGAGCCGGCGGGAUUUUCACAACUCCUCUUAGUCAUUGUGAGGAUUGCGAUUGGACCAACGACUCGCACCGAGUACUUGUUCUACCACCACAAGGUUUACAUGAAGAGGGAGAAUGCCGGCAACUGGAAUUCUGGC